rnacentral:rRNA from 1 species
GCUAUAAUGCAGUCGACGCUUCUUUCCUCCCGAGUGCUUGCACUCAAUUGGAAAGAGGAGUGGCGGACGGGUGAGUAACACGUGGGUAACCUACCCAUCAGAGGGGGAUAACACUUGGAAACAGGUGCUAAUACCGCAUAACAGUUUAUGCCGCAUGGCAUAAGAGUGAAAGGCGCUUUCGGGUGUCGCUGAUGGAUGGACCCGCGGUGCAUUAGCUAGUUGGUGAGGUAACGGCUCACCAAGGCCACGAUGCAUAGCCGACCUGAGAGGGUGAUCGGCCACACUGGGACUGAGACACGGCCCAGACUCCUACGGGAGGCAGCAGUAGGGAAUCUUCGGCAAUGGACGAAAGUCUGACCGAGCAACGCCGCGUGAGUGAAGAAGGUUUUCGGAUCGUAAAACUCUGUUGUUAGAGAAGAACAAGGACGUUAGUAACUGAACGUCCCCUGACGGUAUCUAACCAGAAAGCCACGGCUAACUACGUGCCAGCAGCCGCGGUAAUACGUAGGUGGCAAGCGUUGUCCGGAUUUAUUGGGCGUAAAGCGAGCGCAGGCGGUUUCUUAAGUCUGAUGUGAAAGCCCCCGGCUCAACCGGGGAGGGUCAUUGGAAACUGGGAGACUUGAGUGCAGAAGAGGAGAGUGGAAUUCCAUGUGUAGCGGUGAAAUGCGUAGAUAUAUGGAGGAACACCAGUGGCGAAGGCGGCUCUCUGGUCUGUAACUGACGCUGAGGCUCGAAAGCGUGGGGAGCAAACAGGAUUA